rnacentral:lncRNA from 1 species
AAGCUCUGUAACCAUCUCCCAGCUUAUUACCCAGCAGAAGAACAGGCACCCGGUCUCCCACAGCUUCCUGCAGAACAGAAAAUGUUUUCAACUGAGAGGGGUGUCAUAGGAUUGCCCAGAGGGCAGGCUAACAAUGCCGGCUGGACAGAUGGGACCUCGCUUGAGAAUCCCCUGCUGCCAUAAAAGGUGAGGCCGUAACAGAGUCAUCCUGAAAGCAGAAAACAGCCGCCUUCUCCAAGAGCCUCAGUUUAUCAUGCUUUUGCAAGGUGCCUGAGGCCUGCCUGUGGUGUCUCCUAGUCCCUGUGUGUGCAAUGACCGCUCCCCCUUCACGAUGCUCCUUGGAUCUUAGAUGGAACAGCAGGCCCCCCAAGGUGUGCUGGAUGAGGGGACA